GUGCUCACUUUUGUACAUAUACGGAAAUUGGAAUGAUACUGAGAAGAUUAGCACGACCCCUGCGCAAGGAUGACAUGCACAAUUUGACAGGGAUUCUACAAGUUU